GAUGAACGCUAGCGGCAGGCUUAAUACAUGCAAGUCAAGGGGUGCAAUACAACCGGCGCACGGGUGAGUAACACGUACACAACAUACCAUAUACUGAGGUAUAGCUUCGGGAAACUGAAGGUAAUCCCUCAUAGUAUUGUGAAAGGGCAUCUUUUUACUAAUAAAGUUUCGCGGUAUAUGAUUGGUGUGCGUUUGAUUAGCUAGUUGGUAGGGUAACGGCCUACCAAGGCAACGAUCAAUAGCUGGCGUGAGAGCGCGACCAGCCACACUGGAACUGAGACACGGUCCAGACUCCUACGGGAGGCAGCAGUAGGGAAUAUUGGACAAUGGGCGAAAGCCUGAUCCAGCCAUGCCGCGUGAUAGAUGAAGGCCC
rnacentral:rRNA from 1 species